GAUGAACGCUGGCGGCGUGCCUAAUACAUGCAAGUCGAGCGAACAGACGAGGAGCUUUCUCCUCUGACGUUAGCGGCGGACGGGUGAGUAACACGUGGAUAACCUACCUAUAAGACUGGGAUAAUUUCGGGAAACCGGAGCUAAUACCGGAUAAUAUAUUGAACCGCAUGGUUCAAUAGUGAAAGACGGUUUUGCUGUCACUUAUAGAUGGAUCCGCGCCGCAUUAGCUAGUUGGUAAGGUAACGGCUUACCAAGGCAACGAUGCGUAGCCGACCUGAGAGGGUGAUCGGCCACACUGGAACUGAGACACGGUCCAGACUCCUACGGGAGGCAGCAGUAGGGAAUCUUCCGCAAUGGGCGAAAGCCUGACGGAGCAACGCCGCGUGAGUGAUGAAGGUCUUCGGAUCGUAAAACUCUGUUAUUAGGAAAGAACAAAUGUGUAAGUAACUAUGCACGUCUUGACGGUACCUAAUCAGAAAGCCCCGGCUAACUACGUG
rnacentral:rRNA from 1 species